UGCAUGCAGGAAUGAGACAUCCCUGCCAGAAGCGGUACGCUUCACGCCAGCUCACAGCCUGUUGGCCAGAACACGCCACUUGGCCCACCUAAUUGUGAGGGCGGCCGGGGCUCCCGGAGGGAGAAGUGUUGGGUGUGAGAGAGCACACUCAUCUCCCCAUCCAUCCCCCUGAGAUGCUGGCCUCCCGUCCACCAACCUCCUAGUCCUCUCCCCGGGGAAGCCUGCUCUGCGCCAUCCCUCCCCACGCUGGCUCGUCUCUCUCUGAGUCAUGCUGACUCUAACCGGCCUUUCACCGUUUGUCUCUACUGUUCAUCUUUGGGUGGAGUGCGGCUCACUGUGAAGCUUCUCUGCACUCGCUGGAUGAAUGAGGGAAUGAACAGGGAGAUUUAGGUUCUUGGUAGCUGGAACCUCCUGUUUUUAGAUCCUGCCUUGUUUCUCCCAUGCAGCCCUUCAGUGUGGGUUUUCGUAGCGGCCUGGAUGUCUUCUCUAGGGAGGACCCACCGAUUGCCAUGACUCGAGGCCCCUGGAGACCAAAGACCGGGCGUGGAGCAAGAAAAACAGAUGAUGGACAUCUGCACCUCGGCCCCAGCCCCGCCACUGACAGCGUGUGGCUGUGGAGGCCUCCGUUGGCCCUGUCUGUGAGGGAAGAGCCUGCUGCAAGGCCUCCUGAGCCCCUCCGGUCCCUGCCAUGCCAUGGGUCUGCCUGGAAAACAGUCCUUUGUAAAGCCUGGUCUCCCGCUGCUGCCCCCAGCCCGACCUGCCCUGCCUUUGAGAUGUCCUGUGGUCUAACAAUGAGAUCUUCUGAAAAGCCGUGUCCGUAAUGGAGCCUGAGCUCAAGGGAUGAUCUGGUCCACAGAGCUCGCCGUGAGAUUCUCCCCGCUCUCUGAGCCCGCUCGGGGCGUCCACGGCUUCCAGGCACCAUUUUCCUCUUUUAUUGUCAGGGUUGGGCUAAUGAGCAGCCUACUUAGCCCAUCUCGGCCCAGAUGUGGCCUUCAGGGCUCCCUGAGAAGGGGCCGGGCCUCCUGAAUAACUCACAGCGACCCGGGGCACCGAGUCUGUUCCUGAGGCUGAGCAAGGCCUUGGAGCUGCUGAAGGGGCAUUAAUCCUCAUUUUAUGUGGGGAAAACAGUGAGAAGAAAAGGCAUGCUUGCAAUUUAAUGUAACUAAAUGUCAUUCCGCACCCCCUGUAUCGCCGCUCAAUUGAAAGCACCGGGGAUGGGGCUGAGGGGUAAGAUGGCAGUUGCGUAACCUGAUUCAUAACCCUCAGCGCCUGUUUAUCAUAAAAUCAUUUACGGCUCCAUAAAAUGUGUUAAUUUGG